UGCAUAUAAAUCCAUAAAAUGGUUAUUUUUGCUAAUUUUCUGUUUAUGUUUUCGAUACUAUCCAAGUUGUAGUCAUGAAAAUUCCGAUUAUAAUAAUUAUAUUUUCCAUAUUUACGACGUAUGCAGAAUGUAUUGAAUGUACCGAAAAUUUUUGCCAUAUGGUUAGAUGUGGAGGUGCCGAUUGCAAAGAUACAGAAAUACUCGUUGAGAAAGGAGGUACCUGUGGAUGUUGCGAUGCAUGUUACACAAAAUUAUUUGAAGGAGACGUUUGUAAGCCUCGUUUUAAUGGCGGCGGAGCAUUUUUAGCUAGAUGCGUGGAUGGACUGAUUUGUGGUAAAUGUGGAAAAUGCAUAAAAAAAUGAAAAUAUUUCCUUAUUUAUAAAUAAAAAUAUAUUAAAAGUA